GGGGAGUUGGUGAAGCUGGUGCUCACGUGCCGCUGAAGACGGCGAGAAGAUGGUUCGAUCCCAUCACUUCCCA
rnacentral:tRNA from 1 species